AUGGCGGACGACGACGACGACGGCUUCGGAGACUUCACUUUCGUCUCCGCCGCCGCCGCCUUCAAUCCCAAUCCCACCACCACCACCCAACGACAAUCGGCCGCCUCCGACGACGAUUGGGGCGAUUUCGUAACCGUCGCCGCGCCUCCGAUCAAAACCCCCGUCGUUAACGGAUUCGCGCCCGCCCCGGCCCAAACACCGCCCGACCCGUUCGGGUUUUUCAACGUAACUAACGGCGCCGCAGCAGCGCCGUUAACGUCAGCCGGGUCGGAUCCAAUCCGGGCCGAGACGAAGGCCGAAGGGGUCAGUAAGACGAGGC
rnacentral:lncRNA from 1 species